UAGGGAAUCUUCCGCAAUGGGCGAAAGCCUGACGGAGCAACGCCGCGUGAGUGAUGAAGGUCUUCGGAUCGUAAAACUCUGUUAUUAGGGAAGAACAAAUGUGUAAGGAACUAUGCACGUCUUGACGGUACCUAAUCAGAAAGCCACGGCUAACUACGUGCCAGCAGCCGCGGUAAUACGUAGGUGGCAAGCGUUAUCCGGAAUUAUUGGGCGUAAAGCGCGCGUAGGCGGUUUUUUAAGUCUGAUGUGAAAGCCCACGGCUCAACCGUGGAGGGUCAUUGGAAACUGGAAAACUUGAGUGCAGAAGAGGAAAGUGGAAUUCCAUGUGUAGCGGUGAAAUGCGCAGAGAUAUGGAGGAACACCAGUGGCGAAGGCGACUUUCUGGUCUGUAACUGACGCUGAUGUGCGAAAGCGUGGGGAUCAAACAGG
rnacentral:rRNA from 1 species